rnacentral:rRNA from 1 species
ACUCCUACGGGAGGCAGCAGUGGGGGAUAUUGCACAAUGGGCGCAAGCCUGAUGCAGCGACGCCGCGUGAGUGAAGAAGUAUUUCGGUAUGUAAAGCUCUAUCAGCAGGGAAGAAAGGCCCUUCGGGGAGAUGACGGUACCUGACUAAGAAGCCCCGGCUAACUACGUGCCAGCAGCCGCGGUAAU